UACGGAGGGUGCAAGCGUUGUCCGGAUUUAUUGGGUUUAAAGGGUGCGUAGGCGGCCCGUUAAGUCAGUGGUGAAAGCCUCCAGCUCAACUGGAGAACUGCCAUUGAUACUGACGGGCUUGAGUACAGACGAGGUUGGCGGAAUUGAUUGUGUAGCGGUGAAAUGCAUAGAUACAAUCAAGAACACCGUAUGCGUGAGCAGCUAACUAGGCUGUAACUGACGCUGAGGCACGAAAGCGUGGGGAGCGAACAGG
rnacentral:rRNA from 1 species